rnacentral:lncRNA from 1 species
AUGAAUGUAUGGCAUACAAGUAGCAGACCUACAUAAUUUGAAUUGUUUUCGUGACUUCGUGGGUCAAUAGUAGGCUGCGGUUUUAGGAUCUGGCAGUAGCCAGAUCUGUUUGUGCUUAUGCCCGAAGGUAAAAUCUGGCGAUUUGGGUGAGUAAACGGAAGUCUGCGAAGGAAUUAACCUUUUAAGCUUCCAAUGUCAAAUAUAGUUCAACCUUAUGCUGUCAACUCUACAUAUGAAGUAGUAUUUGCUUGGAGAGCAACAUUGCUUAGCAGAGUGUGUGUGUGUGUUUUGCUUGCUGGGUCAGAGUAGUAGGUGGAGUAUUUUGCUAGAUCAUAUCAUCAAUCAGUCAAUAAUAUAAUGUGUCUGUGUAUGUAUGUAACUAAGAUUCGAUUCCAACUCCCAAGAUAUUAUUACACGGAGUUAAGAACCUGGAUCAUAUGCAGUGUCAUAUUAUAUAAACUUGUCAAAGCCAUCAGGAUAUUACUGUUGUUUAUGGAUGAAUAGUGGCAACAAAGAAGCUUGAUAGAAACUGUUAUUUAAAAAUGAAUAGUGGCAGCAAGUGUGAAGAUGGUGCUAGCCUGCUUGGUACAUUUGUAUCCCUGCUUAUCUCAAGUCUGAACAUUCAAAUGCUAUUUGGUACUAGAAGUGAAAAUAGUACAUAUGUUUUGUUGCUUGGAUGACAUGUUAGUGUGUUUGUAUAAACGAUAGAUGAGAUAAAAAUAUGGCCAUGCUCAUGUUCUACCUUCAUGUGCACCAUUGCUAAUAUCCUGAUGACUUUCCCUACAAUUAAUUUGAAACAUGGAACUAUUCAUCUUUAAAUAGUUAAAUAAUGUGCACCCGGGCCACUAUUCAUUUUUUUUGUAAUUUCUGUUAUUUAAAUACCUGCAGUGUUAGUUCACACUUUUUUUGUAAAUGCUGUUAUUUAAAUACCUGCGGUGUUCGUUCACAUCUUAUUCUUAUUUUGUGCACAGGUGAAGUACAAAGCCAAGUGUGAAGCUAUGAAGCGUAUCAACAAAGAGUAGCAUAUGUAUUGUAAUAGUAGGCAGUAUU